rnacentral:rRNA from 1 species
GCGUACGGGUGAGUAACACGUGGACCAUCUACCUUCUAGUGGGGAAUACCGUUGGGAAACCGACGACAAUACCGCAUAAGCUCGAGAGAGGAAAGCAGCAAUGCGCUGGAAGAGGAGUCCGCGGUCGAUUAGUUAGUUGGCAGGGUAAAAGCCUACCAAGACUGUGAUCGAUAGCCGGCCUGAGAGGGCACACGGCACACUGGCACUGAAACACGGGCCAGACUCCUACGGGAGGCAGCAGUGGGGAAUCUUGCACAAUGGAGGAAACUCUGAUGCAGCGACGCCGCGUGAGCGAUGAAGCCCUUCGGGGUGUAAAGCUCUUUCGGCAGGGAAGAUUAUGACGGUACCUGCAGAAGCAGCUGCGGUAACUACGUGCCAGCAGCCGCGGUUAAUACCGUAGGCAGCAAAGCGUUGCUACGGAGUUUAACUUGGGCCGUAAAAGGGGUGCGUAAGGCGGGGCCUUUUUAAAGUUGGGUGUGAAAUCUCCGGUCAACCGGGAGGUGCGCCGAAUAUUGAGAGGGUUAAAAGUGUGGGGAAAGGAAAGUGGAAUUCCUGGUGCGUAACGGUGAAUGC